GGGAAUGUGACUCGGUGGUAGAGUGCUUGUUUAGCAUGCAUGAAGUCCUAGGUUCGAUUCCUCAGUACCA
rnacentral:tRNA from 1 species